GCGGGGCUUGAGCGGCCCGGCGCGGGGCGCGCGCGGCCUGCCCUCUGGAGGCGGGAGGAGGCCGCGGCCUGCCGGAGCGAUGCAGUGGUGUCGCAGUGCUCAGUUGUCUUCAUAUGUCAUCGUGGUCUGUACUGGUGAGGUGAAAGCCAAAUGCCCUCUCUGUAGGAAUGAGCUUCAAGUAGACAGCUUGGUCGAAUGGUCCCCUGGAAGAGGAAGUAGACUCCAGUAAUGGAAAGAAGCCUGAUCAGGAGUGGAUAUCUAGCUCAAAGGAUUCCUAGAGAGACAGGAGCAUCUUAUCAAGACAUGCAUCGGAGGGCAGACUUCCUGCAGGCUUCCAGACCUGAAAAUGAAACCGACUCUGCUGACAACUUCAGGUAAAAAACGGGGAACAAAAGAAAAAAGGGGAAAAAAAAGACCCCACAAAAACAAAACAAAAAAACUCCACAAAAACACAAAAAACCCACAAAACCCCACAAAAAAGCCCAAAACCAACCAACCAAAAAAAUUAAAAGAAAAAAAAACCGAAAAAACCCGAACCAAACAAAAACAAAAAACGGAAGAAAGAAAUGACAGGUACGUGGAAAGCCG